rnacentral:rRNA from 1 species
GAUGAACGCUGGCGGCGUGCCUAAUACAUGCAAGUCGAGUGAACAGACGAGGAGCUUGCUCCUCUGACGUUAGCGGCGGACGGGUGAGUAACACGUGGAUAACCUACCUAUAAGACUGGGAUAACUUCGGGAAACCGGAGCUAAUACCGGAUAAUAUAUUGAACCGCAUGGUUCAAUAGUGAAAGACGGUUUUGCUGUCACUUAUAGAUGGAUCCGCGCCGCAUUAGCUAGUUGGUAAGGUAACGGCUUACCAAGGCAACGAUGCGUAGCCGACCUGAGAGGGUGAUCGGACACACUGGAACUGAGACACGGUCCAGACUCCUACGGGAGGCAGCAGUAGGGAAUCUUCCGCAAUGGGCGAAAGCCUGACGGAGCAACGCCGCGUGAGUGAUGAAGGUCUUCGGAUCGUAAAACUCUGUUAUUAGGGAAGAACAAAUGUGUAAGUAACUAUGCACGUCUUGACGGUACCCAAUCAGAAAGCCACGGCUAACUACGUG